UCUUUAUCUUUCAUACAAUCUCGUCGUCCAUCUUUGUUUGAGUCACGGCUAACGUCAGGUCAGUAUCGGUAGAGCAUUUCACUGAAUGUUCAGUGUUCUACUGACUACGUGUUGGAGUGGACGUUUUCGCGUGUAAUCAGUGAUAUUUUUGUGAAAAUGUUUUCCACUUCUACACUAAGUGUCAUAUUAGGGACAAUUUUACUUAUCUCUUCGAUUCCCGAUGCAGCUUCUU